CAGGAGGUUUUCAAUGUGGAAAACAGAAGGCACAAUGGAGAACCUGGGCUGUAUUUUGAGCCUCUGUGGCUGUGCUGUUUCAAAACAAACAGCAGCAAAGACUCAAAGGCCAAAGUUCAGACGGACCUCCUGCAGAACCCUGGGGCUAGGAGUAAGAUGCAAACAGUGAGCUACAGAGAAAGCUCCAGGAAUGCGUCUUUUUUGCAAGGAUUGUCUGACCAGGCCUGUUCUACUGGCUUGUCCUAUGGAUCCAAAGCAGGAAAGAUCCCAGUGCUGACUGCCAGAUCUCUUCCAUCGCUCUGGAAGGAGUGUUACAGAGAACACAGAACUGUUGGUGAAGAUGAAAACAGGACUGCUGUCUUUUGUUUUGACUCUUUGCUGUGUUCUGGGAUCACAGGUGUUACUACAAGGUACAGACAAAUGAGAUUCCUCAUCAGUAACUUCACAGAUCUGCAAUUUACUUCUGAGGAAUCAUCCUGGACCCAUUUUACAGUCCAACAAUAUACUUUCCUCUAAAUUGGCAUUGGCAUCCUUUUGGAGUAUGCCCUAGAAGACUCCAUUUGUCUUCACAGACCCUAAUGGACUUCAGCAAAUAGCAGAGAGAGACAUUUAUGCAUGAGGUAUCCAGAUUUAUUGACCUUCGAUUUUCAGUCUAGUUUUCAUUGAAACUCAGGAUUUUAAAAUCAAGCCUCUGUUCAGCCUUAUUCUCACAUCACUCAGACAUCUCUGGAGAUGGAAUCGCCCUCUUCUCAAGAUACAAUUUGAAUUUGUUCACUAAAACAUCUGCACAUAUGGCCCCACAUAUAGAAAUUAUGCUUUCAUGAUUUUCUUGCCUUGGGCCGCACCACUCUUUCAACCCAUCCUCUGGGAGGUGUUUUGUAACAGGGUAAACAAAUGGGAUGGAUGUGUUUCUUUCCACUGCUUUUUGGGAUAUAACUGGUGAGUAGGCACGGAUUGGCUCCCACUGGACAAAUCCAUCACGAUGUCCUCAUGAGCCUUCCUACCUGCUGUGCCUGGGUCAUGCCAUACAGAACGCCAUGGGAUCCUUAAGGAUGAAAGGAGCUGUAUAAACAUUACGCAUCUCUAUUGAUGAUAAACGAUGGGGAAAGGGAAAUGUGUGAUUGAAAGCAGUGCCAGCCGUGGUCUAAUACCAGAUAAACCACACCAAGGCUGUUCUCAAAUAACGUUAAUCACUCUGCACCACUCAUGGCCAGGCAAGCUAGGGGGUAAGAAUAAUUUUUCCUACCAACCCCACAAAGAUCUUUCUGCUCCUGAAUGUCUUUCCUGCAAAGAUAAAGCCAUGGACACUGCUGACAUGUUGCAUUCUUCUUAUCUAGGACGGUUAUGUCAUCUGGCUGGUGUAAAUCUCCUGCUUCCUUGUGUGCUGUGAGCAAGCUCUGCUGUUGUGAAGAGGCAGUUUGGCUUGGUGCUGCUACCCAGAGCAAGAGGUGUGACUUGUCAGCAAAAAGUCAUGGGAGUGAUUAUCUAGAAGGUGGCAAAAGAUUGAAAGCUGAGGCAGGGAGCUCAGAAAGCACCGCACAGUCUGCACAGCGAUCCCUCCUCUCACCAUGUGUCUUAUGUAAGGUGAUGAGACUGACUCACCGUGCUGGGAAAUCUCCUGAAAAUCUGGGCAGGACUGCAGUGCUGCAUCUUUGGAAAUACAGAGCCUGUAAAUUGUGCUUUGCCAGACCUUGCAUCUCUUGCAACUUCAGGGGGAUGAGUGAAGCACCGAGUGCUAUGCCAGAUGGCAGUGUUACCAGAGACCUCAGCAGGGACACCUCCCACCAGACCAGGCUGCCCAGAGCCCCAUCCAGCCUGGCCUUGAGCACCUCCAGGGAUGGAGCAUCCACAGCUCUCUGGCAGCAGUACCAGUGCCUCACUGCUCUCUGAGCAAAGAAUUUCUUCCUAGCAUCUAAUCUAAGUCUCCUCUCUUAGUUUAAAACCCUUUCCCCUUGUCCUACCUUAGGAGAGGCUGAGUUGUCCCCCAAACACCACUGACUGUCACACACACUCUUCUGUGCCUGCAAAGGGAGUGUGCAGUUGCAAACACGAUCACAUAUAUUUGCAUCCCAUCAGCUGCAUCUCAGACCAGGUCUGGCCUGUCUCACGUUGACAUCAUCUUCACCCCAAGGAAACUGCAACCCACGGGCCUGAUUUUACGUGUAAUUGCAGCAGUGUUGAGGAGAUGAGAUUCAGAACCACCAUUUGGCAGUUCUGUCCCCCAGCGUACGCUCUGACAGUCAUUCCAGUAAGGUUUUCAUGGCUCCUUUCGUAAAAAGAAGCCUUUCAGUUAAGAAUUAUUUGUUUGGAUUGGAGCCAAUGGCAAACUGCUGCUGUCUUAACAGGGUGUCCCGCGAUGCUUUCAGCUACAACGAGGUGUGCAAGAGGUGUUUUGCUUUGCUGGCAGUUCUGAAAGAUAACUGCAGACAUCCCUGUAGUUCCUGAUCUAGUGAGAAGUUUCACUCAGUCCUGGAGAAAACAUUUCAGUUGGUCUUUAUGUGAAAAAAGAAAAACAGGGUGAAAGGAAACCUCUGAGCAGAAAGUCAUCUCGCAGCAAAAUCCUUCCCAAGCAACUUAUUUUUUACAGUUCUAACCGAAUUCAUUUGGCAAAAGUGACAGAAAUUCACAGUAUUUCUGCUUUUUUUUCACCAGAAAGAGCACUGAGCCCCCCAGAAUCCACCCACACUGUUUCUGCUGCUGUGUUCAAAAAGCCACGGGGCUCUGGGCCCUUGCUGGCAGGAUGGGAGGGACAAGGAACAGCCCUGCAGGUUGGUGACAGAAGGUUUAGCAAAGGGCUCCUGGAAGCCUUCCCUCUGCCAUACUUCCACACGGCGAAUGUUCCCGUUACUACUUGCAAGCUGGUCGCAGAGCACAGCAAAUACCAGGUACAAUAAAGACCCAGACAGCAGAACGGAGUAUAAAUAGAUGAUGGAAUUCCUGGCAUCAGCUCUGGAGCAGUUUGGGACUGGAACGAGUGAAAAAUACAGUUUCUCUAAAAGGGAAAUUUCCUGCGAGUAAAAGCCAAAUGUUCCCCCUUGCUCCCCCUCCUUCUUUCCCCAGAUUCCAGUUUUUCACUGGGGAGAAUCCAAGUGUUUCAAGUGAGCUCAAGCAGAAUUUCGCUGUGUUGAACUGGCCUGAUUUGGGAUGCAAACCGACCUCUGAAAGGCUGAAAUUUCCCGUGGGAGCAGAAAUUCGGAAUUUUGCUCAGCUCCAGUUACUCUGUGCAUGGAAAUGGCUUCCAGCAAACAAACAGCGCAGACAGGAGAUGCACCCGGAAGGCUCACGGCCCUUAGGAAGCUCUGGAAAACCCAAGCUGGAUUUAACAUCAGUGAGAAAACCUGGAAUCAGAGCCGUGUCCCAAAACCCGGAGCUUCUGUGUUGGAUGUCUGCGCAUCUCAGCCUUAGAGACCUGAGCAGGGCUCUGGUUACGCCCCAUGGAGGGAGACUAUGGAGGCUCAAGUCCUGCGUAUGGGAUGGAUGACACCAUAGGGGACAUGUCAUCUCACGUGAGAUAAGUGGCCCAAUAUGCACAUAGUGUGUUUCUGCUUCAUUCUGCUGAAGACGAGCAUUUACACAGGCCGUUCUGAAAGUAAUGCCUCCUAUUUAUUUCCAAAGAAACAACAACAGAUACAAAGAGCACAAUAAUGCUGUUUGAUAGAGCAAAUUCUCAGCUACAAAACAUUAUUCUUCAACAUGGGCACCACCAUCCACUCUGUAUUUUUGAAAGUAAUGAACAAGAGCCUGUGUGCUGUGCUUGUACAGGCAUGCAUCAGUGGAGGUAACCCACUGUCACCAUCUGAAAUGCAGCACCAACUGUGCUCACUGUGCUCACAUCCACCAUUCGAUCUCCAUAAACACUCAGCAAAUGUUGGUGAAUGUCAAUGGAUGCCAUUUUUUCUGCAUGGAGGAUUUAAUUCCACCCCUUUGCUUCAUACAUGCUUCCAUGACAGACACCAUUUUGCCACGCUGUCCCUCAGCUGUUGUUUGUCACACGGCAACAAAACAUAAUGGGAUACUGGUGGGAAGGUUCAGCCUCUACUGCCAUCCAAUCAACAUCUGCUUCUGAUCAUAUAGCAGGAGGCAAUACUUUCAGAGCAGCCCUUGUAUAAUGGCUCUUUUUAGGUGACAUUUUCUUUUGGGUAAUGGAUACAAAAAGAGGAAAAGGGAGAGCAAACCAAUAGAAAAAUCAUAAUGUGAUUGCUUUUAAGUGGCUUUUUUUGACCCGUUGUUUCGAAAAGGUGCCGCAAAUCAGUCAAAGUUUCCUCUUCCCAUCUGCGAAGGUGCUGUUCUAAAUUCAACCUCACACGAAAAUUCAAGCCGCCUCGUCCUCACUGGGGCUUUAAAUCAAAUUAGUUAACUGAAUUAGGAAUGCUUUUUGCUUUUAUACGUUUGGUUGAGACUGAUGAGCCCAGAGCCGUGAAGGAGCUCAGUCUGACUGCAGCUGCUGCCGGACCUGCAUGCAGUGAUCCUCGUGCCCAGAGCUUCCCCGAGCCUGCCCCGUAUUUUCUGCACCAAUGACAAAUACCUGGUGUCAUUGAUAUUCCAUUAGUUUCCUUCACUGAAAGAUCGGACAGCUUUAAAAAGCCAAUAAAUUCCCACACGUUGUCUCUAAGAAAAGGAUAAAGGAUUCCUUGGCGGGCCACACACCAUUAAGCCCCAGAAGCGAGUGGUGUUUUAUGGUUUGCGGAGCUGAGGUCACUGCUUUGGGAUGGAUGCAAUUAAGGCUCACAGAAGCUACCAAAGCCUGCUGCUUCUUCAAGUGCUCUCAAAAAGACACCUUGCUUAGAGGAGUGCUGGUGCAGUUCCCCUUAUUCUGGUCCUGGGAGCAUACCCCAGCAUAUCCCAGUCCUGGGAGCAACCUUGCACCCUCUGACAGGGUGCUGAGGCAUUGGAACAGGCUGGCAGAGAGCUGUGGGUGCCCCAUCCCUAAAGGUGCUUAAGGCUGGGUUGGAUGGGGCCCUGAGCAGCCUGAUCCCAUGGGAGAUGUCCCUGCCUACUGCAGGGAUUGGAACUGGGUGGGUGCUGAGGUCCCUUCCAACCCAAACCAUUCUAUGCAAAGCAGCAUGGAUCCCACCUGAGAAAGCCUCGUGAAGAUCCAGGGAUUGAAUGCAUUUGAAGCCACAGCAUCCACUUGCUCUGUAGACUAGAGGACAUAGGUGUUCACCCACUAUUUCAAAGUGUUUUUUGGGGUGCUGCUUAUCUUCUACCAUGGGCAACGUGCCUACCUUGUGCUCUCCACACCUCAAAAGACGUCACAGAAUCAUUAAGGUUGGAAAAGACUGCUAAGAUCAUCUUGUCCAACCAUCAGCCCAGUGCCUCCAUGCCCACUGACCACGUCCCUCAGUGCCGUAUGCCAUAUCUCAAGCCGCAUGGCCUUCUCUUUGAAUACUCAGACAUUCAAUAUUCGUGAUGUGAAAUUACGGGAGCUUCCUCAUUUCCCACUGUGCUCAGGAACUCUGGAUGCUGUCCCUUUUCAGGUGCCAUUUCCUGAUGUUUUUCCACCCACCUCUCUGUCACUGUGAUUUCCCCAGGGCUUUCUGUAGAUAUAAUCCUUCAGUGAGUGCCUUGUUCCUCCUGUUCUGUUUAAGGCUGAAAAAUUGUUACUUGUGCCCAAAUUCCAGCCCCUUGCACCCAGAUUUUGGGUUCCAGGAAGGCACAGGAUUCUUUUCUAUUGCUUGGUACACGUAAAGCAGAACCUUUUAGUGAAAUACAAGAAUAAAUGAAUAUGUAGAUGUAUCUUUUUUUUUUUUUUUCUGAAGGUCUCGAGCACAAAUGCUUGCUCUGAUGAGUGACUCAUUCCCUUUGUCAGAGAAGCAUUGUUGGGUGUUUUCAGGCUAUGAGCAAGGCAAGGUUUGGAGGAGGAGUUACCCUCUUUUAUUAGACUGGAUGAUACGGUUGGAAAGAAUCAAGCAAGAUUGCAGGCAUGUGAUCCUUUCCUUCAGGUGCAGAGCAGCUUUUGCUGCCUUCAAGCUGACUGCAAGAACAGCCAUUGCACUGCUGGGCAUAAUGGAGCUAAAGUCAGAGCUGGUGUCCUCAGCCUGGACCUGGAAAAAGAGCCCUCAAGCUCCCCUGAUCACAGCAGCAUCACCUUAAAUUCAACCUCAUAUUAAAAAUCCUUAUCACUUAAUCUAUUAAUUUAUAGCAGCUCCUAUGAAUGUAUUUGCCCACAUGUCCAUGUGGCUUCCAGUUGCUCCUUUAUACCUGACAAAUAGGAGCAAUUAAAACCUGGAGGUGAUCAACUGCAUUUCCACUUGAGGUGAUCAACCUCCUUCCUCUUGACACUGGGACAAAAUCUCAACAUUCAGGUAAUUCCAGUCCCACACAACAAGUGCAUGGGAGGAACAGGAGGGAGGGAGGAGGUGCUUGAUGUAAGUUAAAACCUCUGUCCAAAUUAAUGGGGGAAAAAAAUCAAUGCAUCAGAAUCAACGGGGCGUGUAGAUCCCUACAGAAGGUAAUGCAAUGGGUUUGCACGUCCCUGUAGAAACAUGUGCAGCUCCACCAAGGCAAUGACAGCUCUGGGCUGGGGCACAUACAAGGUGCUGCCUGGGCUGGAUUUGGGGGAAAAUAUCCAAGCAAACCCCAGAUUUCCUAAGUUUUUGUGUGGCACAUGUACUUAUCAGUGACAUUCCUACCCUUGAUCAAGGCUAGCACUGCGUACUCCCAGCACUGUCUGUUUCAGCCUCUCCAGAUGCAGGAAAUCUUCCCUCCCCUCUCCCACUGAGUCUGACUCAGAAAUUGUUUGAAAAUCCCAGUUUUCUGACAUCUCCUGGCUGUUCCCCUCUGGGUAAUGGGAAGCUGAAGGCAAAGCAAACAAAGGAGUCCUUAUGCUCGGGAGAGCUGGCGGAUGGCAGUGGCACCUCCUCCUCUCCUCCUGCUGCUGUGGUGGGGAUCCGGCCUCAUUGUCUGAACAGCUCCAGGCAUGGUGAGCGCUCUGCUAAUGUGACUUUUGCAUCCCAGAGAGAGCUGUGGCCGACAGGGAGCCCCUGGUAUUAAUUAUCUGGGUCGCAGGAUGCACAGGGAAGAUGGCAGUGAUUUGUUUCCCUAUUCCAUUGAAAAGGCAGCAAUGGUCCCAGGCAGCUCAAGCCUGACACACUCAUCAUGCUCAACUAGGUGCAAUUGCCUCUCUGGGGAUAGGAAAGGAAGGGGUCAAUUCCUUUCCUGGUGGUGUUGAGGAGCUGGCACAGGCUGCAUAGAGAAGCUGUGGAUGCUCCAUCCCUGGAGUUGCUCAAGGCCAGGUUGGAUAGGCUUUGGGCAACCUGGUCUGGUGGGAGGUGUCCCUGCCCAUGGCCAUUUCCUCAAACUGAAGCCAUUCUAUGACUCCAUGAUUCCAUGACACAGCAGGGCAGAGCUACCUGGCUGCUGAACACUGCCCUGCAGACUGCAGUCCAGACAUUAUCCAGCUGGAGUAGGCCAUGUCAGCACCCAGCUGUGACAGCUGAGCUUCACACUGGGCGUUGAGUACUGAGGGAAUAAACACCGUAUGUCAAAGCAGUCAGACUGAGUUCAGAGGAGAAGGACAGGUGAAGAUCUGGAUGAGGCAGAACAAGUAUGGGACUCUUCAUCUGCCUCUCAGGACUCCUGGCUGCAAGAAGGAACCAACACCUUGUUGUUUUGUAUCUGCAUGCAGAGCCAUGUCACUGCUUGGGCACUGGGGUAUUGUAAAGACGCUGGAAAAAAAGGACAAUCUAUGGGUAACAUUGUCUACAGGUAGCAUUGUUGGGCAUGUUCAGGUUAACACCUGGGUGAGGUGAGGAAAAGCAUUUCCAUAAGCCUUCCUGGGAGGGUUUCUGAAAGUGUUUUCAAGCCUGUGACCUUGACAGUUGAGCUCAUGAACCCCGUGAUGGCCAAGAAACCUUCAUCCUCAUGCGAUGUCCUCACCUUCUUUAUAUAAACUUGAUCCCCAGGCAAGGGCAGCCUGCCAAGCAAAUACACACAAAUUCCUUCCUUCCCUCCUUCCACCCUCUGCUCUGCUCAAUGCAUGGGCCCAACAUGGGGCCUUGGAGAGAAAGGUCAGGACCAUUUGGUGUCCUCUUACUUUGGCUACUGAAAGGGCAUCUCUGGCUGUGCGGCUGUCUAAAAAUAACCUGAGCUCUCAGAGCAGCUUAGCUCUGCCACAUAUAGGAAUAAAGUGAUGGGAAUGUAUUCCAGCAACAGACGUCCAAAAUGAGUGGUGCAUGGCAUAGUUCUACUUUAGCCCCAAGCUGCCGGAGCUCAGGGAGCAUUUGGACAGUGCUCUCAGAUGUAGGGUUUAGAUUUGGGGUGAUGCUGUGCAGAACCCGGGGUUGGACUCAGGGAUCCUUGUGGGUUCCUUUCAACUCAGGAUAUUCCAUGGUUCUAUGAGUCAAUAUAAAUCAGCCCACUUAUGUGCAGUGACAGCACUACAAUGCGGUGGGUUGACCCAGCCACUUCUUCAACCCCCAAAAACCAAUGCACUGAUGUAUCCUUUUUUCCCUUUGAUAACCAAACAAAUAUGUCCAGUGACAGCAACUCUCUCAUGAUUUAAAACACUGAGUCCGGCUUGAUUGUAUUAAGUGAAUUUCUCACUUGACUUUUCCCAAGGAAUACUGCAUCAGCCCAUUGCCCCAUCCUUGGAGGUGCUCAAGGCCAACUUGGAUAGGCAGCCUGAUCUGAUGGCUGACAACAGGAGAGCUUGGACAGUUUCACCCUGAAAGCCUCAUCCAAGUCCCUGUAUUCCAAAGAAGUGUAUCUCAACCCAAAGGAUCAUGCAGAAAUGAUUUGGGAGAGAAGUCAGAGGAAUGGAAAACCACUCUGAGGAGAGAGGACUAAAUCUUCCUGUUAUUUUAGGUGGAUCUAAGUAAUUGUGGGACUUUUAUUUUUUUACAGUCUGAAACAUCCGACUGCUGGAUUUGAGAAAUCACUGGCUUGUAUUCUACUUUGUAGUAAUCAGAAAUUAAUCUGUCUAAUCACCCACAGCUCUGUUGCAUCUCUCCAAAAAGACAGCAAGGCAUUAUACUAUUUCCUGACUGUGUUCUGGGGUGGCUAAUACUGGGACCAGACAUCAGCCUGUGACAUCAAUCUUUGAAUUGAUAGGAUGAGAGGGAAUGACCUCAAGUGGUGCCAGGGGAGGUUUAAGGUGGCCAUUAAGGAAAACUUCUCCAAAAUGGUGGUCAGGCACUGGAAGAGGCUGCCCAGGGAGGUGGUGGAGUCACUGUCCCUGGAGAUGCUGAAGGAAUGUGGCACUGAAGGGGUAAUAUUGGUGGUAUGGUGGGUGGACUGUUAGACUGGAUGAUCUUAGUUGGCCAUUUGUGAGAAAGAGGGAUCUGCGUGUACAAACCACUGGAUAUACUGUCCAACCAACCAGCACUUUCGAGAUUAACCCCUCUCCUUUCCACACGUACAAGUGUAAAACACGCCCAGGGCCAUUCUGCACCCAAUAGGGAUUUCACAUCGCUCAAACACCGGAGCUGUGGAAGUGAACAUCAGGAAUGUGGGACAGAUAUUAUGUGUACAUCCCUGCCUUGUGAUGGCUUUCUGGAUGUGUGUGCGACGAAGCCGGUGGGAACUUCUUUGCAAGAGGAGAAGCUAACAGCUCUCCCUAUUCAGUUGCUCCAACAGAAAGCCCUGGGCAAUUGCUGUGCCAUUGUUCAAAGCAUUCUGAAAGCACAGCUUCAGAGGCAGCUCUGCUGCUUGCACAGGGGGUAAUUAACCCAGCCUGGGAGAGCUGAACAUUGGAAGAAAAAGAUAAAUUCUCAGUGGUACCUUGGGAAGGCUGUUGUUUCCCCAGGAAAAAAGAUUCCCCCCAAACACUUUUUGUCCUCCUGUUUCCCACAUGAACCACAGGAAAGGCAGCGUGCUGGAGUUGUGACUUUGGUGUUAAUCCCAGCUCUGGGCUGAUCAGCUCUGGGCUGAUUCUGCUUGUAGUCUGCUCUUCUCCAUCUCCUCACUGUAAAGUGGGGAUAGUUAUAAAUCAUAGAAUCAU